CCUACGGGAGGCAGCAGUAGGGAAUCUUCCACAAUGGACGAAAGUCUGAUGGAGCAACGCCGCGUGAGCGAAGAAGGUCUUCGGAUCGUAAAGCUCUGUUGUAAGGGAAGAAUAAGUGCAGUAGUAACUGGCUGCACCUUGACGGUACCUUACGAGAAAGCCACGGCUAACUACGUGCCAGCAGCCGCGGUAAU
rnacentral:rRNA from 1 species